GCCAGUUUGGCUCAAUGGAUAGAGCGUUGGCCUGCAGCCUGAAGGGUCACAGGUUCGAUUCCUGUCAAGGGCA
rfam:Myotis brandtii contig158935, whole genome shotgun sequence.